CUCAUGCCAUCCUCUUUCCCCUACCCCUCCUAGGCCACCACAGCCCCAUCAUACUCCUUGGCAGCCACCCAAAACCCUGCCUGGAGGCUUCUUGCAGGAGAGAGCCUGGGCUCAGAUUUUGUUAUAUUUUGUGUACGUUGUCUCCUAAUCCUCCCAGCAAACCUGGAGGAUGGGCAUAAGCCAUGAUUACAGACUGGACAGUGGGAUCCUAGACUCUAGUCACUCCCUUGGGGUCUGGCAGCUCCCACACACGGGGCAGGGCUCCAGCCUGACAGCAGAGGCUGUGCCGUGGGAUGACCUGGCAGUGGCCAUAUAUGGAAGGUGCUUGUGUGUGACUUUGAGGCCAGGUGCUCCCCUGGAAGGGCUGACACUGAAUUUGCAUCCUGCCGGCUUGUGUGGGGUGCAGCACUGAGAUUUGUCCCCUGGGGCUUGGGUUUGACUUCGCUCUGCAUGGCCUCCAAGGCCGAUUCCCUAAGUGUCUGAUGGGUGGAACUCCAGGCAGAUUUACUCAUGAGCAGCGCGAGGGCAACUCCAUGCAGAGUAACCCACAUUCUGAUUCAGGGUUUAAGAAAUUUAGAGGGUCACAUGUCACUCAGCAUAGCCUGUCUGAUAACAAGAGGUUGUGUAAUUAUGUUUAGAUUUCUAGGUUGGAAGAAUCCCUUAGGAAGUCAGUGCUGCAGAUAGAACAACUACAAAGUAUGAGAUCAUCACAACAAACAGCUUUCAGCACAAUAAAAAGUUCAGUUUCAACAAAACCACACGGAUGCCUGCUGCCACCUCACUCAUCAGCCCCCGACAGACUGGAGUCGAUGGAAGUUGAUCUCUCUCCUUCUCCGAUUAGAAAAUCCGAGAUAGCAGCCGGCCCUGCGAGAAUCUCCGUGAUUAGUCCACCUCAAGAUGGACGAAUGGGCAGCGUCUCCUCCCGGGGCCCCGAGCAUCCCGGCCUGACGCCGAGUCAGAGGAGCAUGGGAAAGCCUCUCAGGAUUCCACCUCUGCAAAUUCCCUACAAGGGACCCCCACUAACGCCAACACCACAGUUACCAGGGAGAGCAGGAAGAGGGGACUCUCCAAGCUUCGGGGGCUCCCAGGCCAGGCUGCCCCCCCGGCCGCCCAUCAGCAUCUCCAGCCUGCUGCAGAGGCAGUGUUUAGGCAAGUGCUCAGCCAGCCUCAGGAAGAAAAUGCUUUUGGGAAACUGCGUGUGUAAAGAAGCUCUUUAACUGAGUGUGUGCCAAGGGCAGACAUGGAGCUCUAAACCUUCUCAAGAGUUGUGUUUCUGAGUUUUGCCUUAGUUGUU
rnacentral:lncRNA from 1 species